UAUUAUUAUAGAACGUUUUCAAACCCAUCCAAAAGUAGAGAGAACUGUACAGCGACCCACCCUUCCCCCGGACUCAUCACUGUUUCAGUCAGCACCACUUUCUGCCCCUUGCUUUUCGUCCAUCUCUCUCCUCCACUCCCUCCAUCAGUAUUUUAAAACGAACCCAGACUUUGUAUCAUUUUACCCAGAAAUACUUCAGUGUGUGUCUCUAACAGAUAAAGACUUUCUGCUUGUUUGUUGUUAUUCUAACCACGUAACCCCAACGUGGUUAUUACUCCCGAUAGAAUUUAAUAGUAAUUUCUUGCCAUCUAAUAACCAGUCGCUCUUCAAUGUUGUGUUUUUUAGUCUGGCCAGAGGAAGACCUGAACAGUUUUGAGAAAUUGCCCAACACCAUAAGGCAUUUAAACAAAAAUAAAUGUACCUGUAUGAUUCGGCAAAUCCCACAGAUCCUAUGGGCAGUUGCUCCAUUACAUUCUACAGCACAGAAGAGUCUCCCAAUUCCUCAUGGCAGCCAGGCCUUAAACAGCCUGUGGGUGGCUUUUGUUUGGGCCAUGGGCUCUUUGAAAAGGUGACUCAAUCAGGUCAUCACAGAGCAUUGAGUAGAGUUCCCUGUGCU